rnacentral:lncRNA from 1 species
GGAUUUCGCCAUGUUGCUCAGACACUGGUCUCGAACUCCAGGACUCAAACUGGAACUGGGCUUAAACUCCUGGACUCCCGCCUCAGCCUCCCAAAGUGCUGGGAUUACAGGCGCCCGGCCUCAGGGCCCUUUUCUUAGAGGGAGUGGAGAACUGGCCCAGGUGGGGGAGUAAGACAAGCUGCCACCUAGCCAGGCUGUGCCUGGCUGCCGUGCCUGAAGAGCCCACCGUGGAUUCUCUCCAUGCGGGUCGGGCAGCAGCCCAGGGACUGACCAGAGAGGAAGAGCAGGAUCCCAGAGGAAGGGGACGCUCACCUACCUCAUGAAUUACGCGUGUCGCCCUCCUCGAGACGCCACAACGCAGUCCCCUGGGGAGCCAGCCGGAGACCUCUCCCUGCGGUGCUGUCUCCCCCGUGGU